GACCUCGUAGCUCAAUUGGUAGAGCAUUGGACUAGUAUCCCAAAGGUCGCGGUUCGAUUCCCACCGUGGUCA
rnacentral:tRNA from 1 species